CCAGAGGGUCAGGAGCAUUCCUAAUAAGGAAAUGGGAAAUGGAACUUCACAUAAAAGGAGAGUGCACCAAACACAUAGUAGAUGCUAAUGAUCCAGCAUCAAGCCCCGGAGGGAGCAGAGUGGAGCAGGGGACAUUCUGCUCACAUGUAUGCCUGGAUACCACUUGCAUGCCUGGUGCUCAAGGAAGCCAAAGAGGACCUGCCUCCCCUUUGGUUCUGACACAGCCCGGCUCUGCAGGAUGGGCAGCUGGCACCUAGGUGGUGGCAAGAAAAACUGAGGAUCAUUGUCCCCAUCUCUGACCCAUAACUGGAGCUGCCUAAUGCUCCCAAGCUUUGUCCCUUGUUCUUACCAGGCUCCAGUCCUAGGAGGUGUGUGUGUGUGUGUGUGUGUGUGUGUGUGUGUGAGAGAGAGAGAGAGAGAGAGAGCACGCACAUGUACAAAAGUGGUCACUUCCUGCCACCAGGGUGUCACUUCUAGGGCAGUCUUCUCCCUAUGUCUUGUUGUAAGUAGUCCCAGCCAUUGAGAAGCCCAGCCCCUUUCUUGCCUGUGAGUUCUCUUAAUGUAGCUGCAGGGUGAGAAAGCUGCUGUGUAAGAAAGCUGGCAGUUACCUGAUGCCAGCAGGCAGCGCUGCCGGUCCAAGCCCUCCUGAGAGCCCCAUGGCAGAGGGUCUGGGUGGGGGGCCUGGGAAGGGCAGGGGUGGAGAGGGAGAGAGUGAUCUGAAGACAGUGCAUUUGACCUGGGCUAGGACAGUCAUUUGCAGAGUGUGGUAGCUGCUCACUGUCACACAUCUUCCUGGGGGAGACGCUCCCAGGCUUUGAUUAGAUUUCUAAAAGGGUCCCUGACCCUCCAGAGGGGGUGUGCUGAGAACUCUGAGGUUUGGAAGGGGCCCGGGAUAACAUGAGAACACCAGAGGACUCUUUUCUUUGGGGUUCUGUCCAUUCUUGGGGCAACCAUGUUUUGCUUGGAUCCCCUCUCUCUCUAGUCCUGAUUCGGUUUGUGGAACAGGGUGUUUAUGUUCCAGGUUCCUGGCCUGCACAGGAGACUGCGGCCCUGUGAUGCUGCUGCGACUUUGCUCUCACAUGCUUAUCUCUCAGAAACACCCCAAUUCCUGGGUCAUAUUUCCCCAUUUAUAAGACAGGAGGAUUCUCACCACAUCUGACUGCUGACGAGUGAUCCCGGUGUGGUCUGUGGGUACAAACCAGCCCUUGAAAGGGGAGAGAGUUCAGGCCACAUGGAAGACGCCCCCGCUUACCAUCCACUGGGGUGCAGGGUUCGUACACCAGCCUGUAGCCCU